GGUGAGGCACAGCCACCCUCGGCCUCUGCAGGAGACCCUCCAACACUAGCAGGUACUCUUUGCGUCCCAGUAGACAACUUGCCUCCAAGACCUACUUCUGGGAGAACCCGAACUAUGACAAUCACAGUUAAAUAGCACAGAAUAGCCUGUGAGAAAAGCCAGGGAUCUCACUCCUCAAGGACAAUUUUAAUGUUUUUCUUCGGUUCUGGUUUUUAUUAAGGUGCCUUCGUAACUGGAGAUAAAAUGCUGAUGUCUCUGUGUUUUGAUUUAACCAUUUUAGGAAUAUUUAUAGACUCCCUCUUAGGAACGAUGAAUAUUUAAUCUUUUAUGAGUCCACCCACAAUGUUCAAUGCUUGACAGGCACAUUUUUAUAUUUGGUUUUGUUAUUGGCUACACUUAAUUUUAAAUCAUCUAUUUAAACCUCCGUUUCUCAAUAAAUCAACUUCAGACAGUAUAUAUUGACACCCGAGUUAAUAAGAUUAGGAUGGACCCACCACCUUCUCCAUCCCCCACUUCCAUUACCUGACUUUGGUCAACUAUACCCUUGUUCUUACUGUGUCAAGGUCAUUAACAUUUAUCUUCUGUCCUACAGUGUCCGCACAGCCUUCUACACCUUGUCCAUGAUUUGAUUCUGAAAGUCAAAAAACUACACUGUAUAGAAUUUUAUAUUCUAAAUGUUGAGGAAUUGUACCCACAAACACGUAUCCCAAUAAUGUA